rnacentral:rRNA from 1 species
UGCGGGGGGAGUCGGAUUCGGUCGGACGCGGUGGGGAGGGGAGAAUGGGUGAUUAGGGGUGGGUGCUCUGCCUUGAGCUUCAUUAAUAGGCCGGGGAAACUGGGUCUAAUACCGGAUAUGACCUCGGAAUGCAUGUUCUGGGGUGGAAAGAUUUAUCGGUGCGAGAUGGGCCCGCGGCCUAUCAGCUUGUUGGUGAGGUAACGGCUCACCAAGGCGACGACGGGUAGCCGACCUGAGAGGGUGACCGGCCACACUGGGACUGAGACACGGCCCAGACUCCUACGGGAGGCAGCAGUGGGGAAUAUUGCACAAUGGGCGCAAGCCUGAUGCAGCGACGCCGCGUGCGGGAUGACGGCCUUCGGGUUGUAAACCGCUUUUGACAGGGACGAAGCGCAAGUGACUGUACCUGUAGAAUAAGGACCGGCCAACUACGUGCCAGCAGCCGCGGUAAUACGUAGGGUCCGAGCGUUGUCCGGAAUUACUGGGCGUAAAGAGCUUGUAGGCGGUCCGUCGCGUCGUUUGUGAAAACUUGGGGCUCAAUCUUAAGCUUGCAGGCGAUACGGGCGGACUAGAGUACUUCAGGGGAGACUGGAAUUCCUGGUGUAGCGGUGAAAUGCGCAGAUAUCAGGAGGAACACCGGUGGCGAAGGCGGGUCUCUGGGAAGUAACUGACGCUGAGAAGCGAAAGCAUGGGUAGCAAACAGGAUUAGAUACCCUGGUAGUCCAUGCCGUAAACGGUGGGUACUAGGUGUGGGGCUCCUUCCACGGACUCCGUGCCGUAGCUAACGUAUUAAGUACCCCGCCUGGGGAGUACGGCCGCAAGGCUAAAACUCAAAUGAAUUGACGGGG